rnacentral:rRNA from 1 species
GACGAACGCUGGCGGCGUGCUUAACACAUGCAAGUCGAACGGUGAAGCGCCUUCCUUUUUGGUGGGUGUGGAUGAGUGGCGAACGGGUGAGUAACACGUGAGUAACCUGCCCCCUUCUUCUGGAUAACCGCAUGAAAGUGUGGCUAAUACGGGAUAUUCUGGGUCUGUCGCAUGAUGGGUCUGGGAAAGAUAUUGUUUCGGUGGGGGAUGGGCUCGCGGCCUAUCAGCUUGUUGGUGGGGUGAUGGCCUACCAAGGCGGUGACGGGUAGCCGGCCUGGGAGGGUGGGCGGUACCACGGGGGGAAGGGCCCGGGCCAGGCGUCGAAGGGGGGGAGCAGGGGGGAAUAGUGCACAAGGGGGGGAAGGGUGGAGCAGGGGAGCGGGGGGGGGGAAGGGGGGCUUUGGGUGGGGAACGUCUUUAGGCAGGGAAGGAGGGCUGGCUUGUUUGUGGGGGGGUUGACGGGAGGUGGGUAAGAAGCGCCGGAAAAAUACGUG